ACAACCGAGGUGCAAAGGCUGUCGCUGACCCUCAAAGGUUGUGCACGCCCGAGCGCUCUCACACAAUCCAUCUCACCUUUGUGCAUCACCGCGUGGGUCCCCUUUGCGGGAGGGCUCGCGUUUUCACAUAAUAACUCGAUACAGUGUAGAAUGUUUCUUUUGCGGUCACACGCAAUCAAUACAACUUUCAACAACGGAUCUCUUGGCUCUCGCAUCGAUGAAGAACGCAGCGAAAUGCGAUACGUAAUGUGAAUUGCAGAAUUCAGUGAAUCAUCGAAUCUUUGAACGCACCUUGCGCCCCUUGGCAUUCCGAGGGGCACACCCGUUUGAGUGUCGUGAAUUCUUCAAAACCCUCUUUUCUUCGAACCAUCGUGGUCGGGAAAAGGAUUUUUGGACUUGGAGGUUUAAUGCUCGCCCUUUCUUUUGAAAGCGAGCUCCUCUCAAAUGAAUUAGAGGGGUCCGCUUUGCUGAUCCUUGACGUGAUAAAAUGUUUCUACGUUUUGGGUUUAGCACUGUCGCUUGNNUGCCUGCUCCUAACCCGUCUCAUUGACAAUGAUGGUGCUCUGGUCACUGCCGUCUACAUCGGCGGGAGGCUGGACCCACAAAAAGAAAANCCUUGA
rnacentral:rRNA from 1 species